GACGAACGCUGGCGGCGUGCUUAACACAUGCAAGUCGAGCGGGAUCCAACCGGUGGCAACACCGGGGAAGAUCUAGCGGCGAACGGGUGAGUAACACGUGAGCAACCUGCCCCGAAGACUGGGAUAACACCGGGAAACCGGUGCUAAUACCGGAUGUCGUCAUUAGGCCGCAUGACCUGAUGAUGAAAGGAUUCAUCGCUUCGGGAGGGGCUCGCGGGCUAUCAGCUUGUGGUGGGGUAACGGCCUACCAAGGCGACGACGGCUAGCUGGUCUGAGAGGACGACCAGCCACACUGGAACUGAGACACGGUCCAGACACCUACGGGUGGCAGCAGUCGAGAAUUUUUCUCAAUGGGCGAAAGCCUGAAGGAGCGACGCCGCGUGGGGAUGAAGGGCUUCGGUCCGUAAACCCCUGUCAUUUGCGAACAAACCUUACUCAUGAACAAUGGGUGAGCUGAUUGUAGCGAAAGAGGAAGGGACGGCUAACUCUGUGCCAGCCGCCGCGGU
rnacentral:rRNA from 1 species